rnacentral:rRNA from 1 species
GAUGAACGCUGGCGGCGUGCCUAAUACAUGCAAGUCGAGCGAACGGACGAGAAGCUUGCUUCUCUGAUGUUAGCGGCGGACGGGUGAGUAACACGUGGAUAACCUACCUAUAAGACUGGGAUAACUUCGGGAAACCGGAGCUAAUACCGGAUAAUAUUUUGAACCGCAUGGUUCAAAAGUGAAAGACGGUCUUGCUGUCACUUAUAGAUGCAUCCGCGCUGCAUUAGCUAGUUGGUAAGGUAACGGCUUACCAAGGCAACGAUGCAUAGCCGACCUGAGAGGGUGAUCGGCCACACUGGAACUGAGACACGGUCCAGACUCCUACGGGAGGCAGCAGCAGGGAAUCUUCCGCAAUGGGCGAAAGCCUGACGGAGCAACGCCGCGUGAGUGAUGAAGGUCUUCGGAUCGUAAAACUCUGUUAUUAGGGAAGAACAUAUGUGUAAGUAACUGUGCACAUCUUGACGGUACCUAAUCAGAAAGCCACGGCUAACUACGUG